rnacentral:rRNA from 1 species
GACGUAGGGCGCGAGCGUUGUCCGGAUUUAUUGGGCGUAAAGAGCUCGUAGGCGGCUUGUCGCGUCGAAUGUGAAAACUCGGGGCUCAACCCCGCGCUUGCAUUCGAUACGGGCAGGCUCGAGUUCGGUAGGGGAGACUGGAAUUCCUGGUGUAGCGGUGAAAUGCGCAGAUAUCAGGAGGAACACCGGUGGCGAAGGCGGGUCUCUGGGCCGAUACUGACGCUGAGGAGCGAAAGCGCGGGGAGCGAACAGG